UAACUUUCCCUUUUUUGUUGACUUUCCUUUUUUUUUGGCAGAGUGGGUCUGCACUUUGGGUCUUGGUUGGGGUGCUUUUUUCACCCUUUUUUUUCUUCACCCUUUUUUUUCGGAUAACACCCCAUACUUCUUUAAUUCAAUUAUAUUUUAAUUCUAUUUUUUUAGAUUUAAUUAGAAUUAUUUUUUGUUAAUCAUGUUUACUUAGGUUAAUCAAAAAGUUUAGGAUUUAAUAAAAAUUUAGGAUUAAUUAGUAUAAAAUUUUAAUUAGACCAAAAUUAGAAUUAAUUAGUUUUUAGUUGAUUU
rnacentral:lncRNA from 1 species